rnacentral:rRNA from 1 species
AGCGUAGACGGUGAGACAAGUCUGAAGUGAAAUCCCGGGGCUCAACCCCGGAACUGCUUUGGAAACUGUCUGACUAGAGUGCAGGGGAGGUAAGUGGAAUUCCUAGUGUAGCGGUGAAAUGCGUAGAUAUUAGGAGGAACACCAGUGGCGAAGGCGGCUUACUGGACUGUAACUGACGUUGAGGCUCGAAAGCGUGGGGAGCAAACA